GAUGAAGAACGUAGCGAAAUGCGAUAAGUAAUGUGAAUUGCAGAAUUCAGUGAAUCAUCGAAUCUUUGAACGCACAUUGCGCCCGCCAGUAUUCUGGCGGGCAUGCCUGUCCGAGCGUCAUUUCAACCCUCGAACCCCUCCGGGGGGUCGGCGUUGGGGAUCGGCCCUCCCUUAGCGGGUGGCCGUCUCCGAAAUACAGUGGCGGUCUCGCCGCAGCCUCUCCUGCGCAGUAGUUUGCACACUCGCAUCGGGAGCGCGGCGCGUCCACAGCCGUUAAACACCCAACUUCUGAAAUGUUGACCUCGGAUCAGGUAGGAAUACCCGCUGAACUUAAGCAUAUCAAUAAGCGGAGA
rnacentral:misc_RNA from 1 species